UAAUGCCAAUGAAGAGAGAUAUGCGUCAACAUAUCCCUCGAUGUAGAACCGCUUAAGACGGUAGCAUAGUUUAAUACAGUAAAGA
rnacentral:sRNA from 1 species